rnacentral:sRNA from 1 species
GUCCUCCUCCUCCUCCUCCUCCUCCUUU